rnacentral:rRNA from 1 species
UACGUAGGGUGCAAGCGUUAAUCGGAAUUACUGGGCGUAAAGCGUGCGCAGGCGGUUAUGCAAGACAGAUGUGAAAUCCCCGGGCUCAACCUGGGAACUGCAUUUGUGACUGCAUGGCUGGAGUGCGGCAGAGGGGGGUGGAAUUCCACGUGUAGCAGUGAAAUGCGUAGAGAUGUGGAGGAACACCGAUGGCGAAGGCAGCCCCCUGGGCUGAGAUUGACGCUCAGGCACGAAAGCGUGGGGAGCAAACAGG